GACGUAGGGCGCGAGCGUUGUCCGGAAUUAUUGGGCGUAAAGAGCUCGUAGGCGGUGUGUCGCGUCGGCCGUGAAAACCUGGGGCUUAACUCUGGGCGUGCGGUCGAUACGGGCAUCACUGGAGUUCGGCAGGGGAGACUGGAAUUCCUGGUGUAGCGGUGAAAUGCGCAGAUAUCAGGAGGAACACCGGUGGCGAAGGCGGGUCUCGUGGGCCGAUACUGACGCUGGAG
rnacentral:rRNA from 1 species